GGAGGAAAGUAGGGGAUCGAAAGACCUUAUGCUUUUGGAGCGGCCGAUGUCUGAUUAGCUAGUUGGUAAGGUAAUGGCUUACCAAGGCGACGAUCAGUAGUUGGUCUGAGAGGACGACCAGCCACACUGGGACUGAGACACGGCCCAGACUCCUACGGGAGGCAGCAGUGGGGAAUUUUGGAANNUGGGCGCAAGCCUGAUCCAGCAAUGCCGCGUGAGUGAAGAAGGCCUUCGGGUUGUAAAGCUCUUUCAGUCGAGAAGAAAAGGUUGUGACUAAUAAUCAUAACUCAUGACGGUAUCGACAGAAGAAGCACCGGCUAACUACGUGCCAGCAGCCGCGGUAAUACGUAGGGUGCGAGCGUUAAUCGGAAUUACUGGGCGUAAAGGGUGCGCAGGCGGUUCUGUAAGUCAGAUGUGAAAUCCCCGGGCUUAACCUGGGAACUGCGUUUGAAACUACAAAGCUAGAAGGG
rnacentral:rRNA from 1 species